rnacentral:misc_RNA from 1 species
CUUCUAUCAGAUAAAUGUGGCUUAAUCCAUUCAACCAGAUUAUGCUGGUUGCUUGGGCGGUUUGUGUCUAGUGCCCGUAGACCUGUUAACAUUUCCACUAGCACAACACCAAAACCAUAGACAUCGCUUUUCACGUACAAGUGUCCUGUUUGAACAUACUCGGGAGCAGCAUAACCAUACGUUCCCAUCACCCGUGUUGUCACGUGUGAUUGACUAGCCGAAGGACCGAAUUUGGCCAAGCCAAAAUCUGAUAUCUUUGCAUUGUAAGAGCCAUCAAGUAAUAUAUUUGAGG